GCCAUGUACUUGCCAUGGCGAGGGUCGCACUUCGCCAUCAUGGAGGACGGCUCGAAUGCGCUGUUGGUGAUCUCAGCAACCGAGAGCUGCUCAUGGUAGGCCUUCUCAGCAGAAAUAACAGGUGCAUAGGAUGAAAGCAUGAAAUGGAUCCUUGGGUAUGGAACCAAGUUAGUUUGGAACUCAGUCACAUCAACGUUCAGUGCACCAUCAAACCUCAAAGAGGCAGUGAGGGAUGAAAUCACCUGCAAAAAUCAAUACAUUAAAAUUCAUGCAUCUUCAUAUCCAACUUUUUUCAACAACAAUCAACAAACAAAGUUGAAUAACCAACAAUCCACAGGAAUCAACUCAAAUUAUUAAAUUGCAAUUCCUAACAAGCUUUGAAACAAAUUUUACCUGAGAGACGAGGCGGUUGAGGUUGGUGUAGGUGGGGCGUUCAAUGUCAAGGGAGCGCCUGCAGAUGUCAUAGAUGGCUUCAUUGUCGAGAAGCACGGCGACAUCGGUGUGCUCAAGGAGGGAGUGAGUGGAAAGGACACUGUUAUAGGGCUCAACAACAGAGGUAGAAACCUGGGGAGAUGGGUAAACAGUGAACCCAAGCUUAGAUUUCUUUCCAUAA